rnacentral:rRNA from 1 species
CCUACGGGCGGCAGCAGUGAGGAAUAUUGGUCAAUGGGCGAGAGCCUGAACCAGCGAAGUCGCGUGAGGGAGUACUGCCCUAUGGGUUGUAAACCUCUUUUGUCGGGGAGCAAAAGCCGGACGUGUCCGGCUGUGAGCGUACCCGAAGACAAAGCAUCGGCAAACUCCGUGCCAGUAGCCGCGGUAAUACGGAGGAUGCGAGCGUUAUCCGGAUCUGUUGGGUUUAAAGGGUGCGCAGGCGGAUUGUUAAGUCCGCGGUCAAAGCGUGGGGCUCAACCCCAUCCAGCCGUUGAAACUGGGGAACUGGAGUGUGCGAGAGGGAGGCGGAAUGCGUGGUGUAGCGGUGAAAUGCAUAGAUAUCACGCAGAACCCCGAUUGCGAAGGCAGCCUACUAGACUGCCGCCGACAUUGAUGCUCGAAAGUGUGGGUAUCAAACAGGAUUAGAUACCCUGGUAGUC